CCUUCUCUCUCGCGCGAACCCCAUCCGUCCAUCGAUCCAGCCCGCCUCUCUCCCUCUUGCGUGAUCCCUAGCUAUCAGCUCCUCCCUGCCGCCGCCACCUCCAUCGCUCGAUCCCGGCGACCUCAGGCCAGAAUCGACGGCGCCCAGCACACCAACAGGACCCCCACGCUCCGCUCCUCCCUCCUGUCCGGCGAGAUCCGGCGUGGGCUUCGUUCGCCGCCUCCCUCUCUCUCCCUCGAUCUAGAUCUAUUCCCUCCGCCGCCGCCCCCUCCUCCCCCGCGUUCGCCAUUGCAACACGCCUACAAAUCUCAUUGUACCCGCACGAACGCGCCCGCACGCCGCCCCGCCCGCACGCCUCAAUCCCAUCGACCCAACGCCCAGGCCCAGCGCGGGCCGCCGCGAGGACGAAUCUAGGGAAGAUGGUGACCGUGUUCUACCAAGUCGGCCAUGGAGGCGGUGGCCCUCUCCGCCGGUGACGUUCCAGCACGCGGUCCUCGCCAACCCGCUCAGCCCCGACAAGGCGACGCGGCACCCCGCGGAGUCGGCCCUCACGCAGUGCGAGCCCCGCCCUGAGUUCUGCUCCUACCUCCUGAGUAAUGCACUUAAGAAGUUGCAUCGAAGGCGUCGUUGGUGCCUGGUGUCCUCGUCAAGCUCCUUCAACAUAUGAACACGGAUGUCAAAGUCGCAGGAGAGCAUCGGUCGUCCCUUCUUCAGUUGUGGUAGCUCUAGUGCGAGGUCGGCGUCUUCUUCGGGGCUGAUGGGUUGGCGCUGUUCGAGAUGGGCAACACCAGUGUCAUCGUCGCCGUCUACGACCCCCGAGAGAUAGUCGCUUUUUCUUUACAUGUGUGGUUUGCUACUGUUGUUUCGUUUGGGUUGGGUUAGUUCUAGCAGGGAGAUGUGAACUAUCGAUUAGUGUCAUGCAUUCAGUUUUAAUUCCUUUCACGAUCUCUGCCUCCCUCCUCUGCUUGAUUUUGUAUAUUUCCUCUCAAGAACUCGUGAUAUAAUCUUUCCUAAUAUUAAUCUUGGUUUGACUAAAAUUACAGUGACAAUCAGGUAGCCGUAGUUUUAGUUGACUGUUGUUGUGUUGGUAUUGAUGACUCUAAGUGGCAACUAUUCCGAAUUAUUGAGAACUUAUAACAUGAUCUUGGACCCCUAAUGGAUGAUCAAUGCAUAAUUCUUUUAUAUGCUGCAUGAUGUGUGUGCUCCUUUUUUCUUGUAUUAUUAUUCUGAGAACUUUCUGAGAACUAUCUGAUUCUCCGAAGCACUGAAUAUGUAUUGCCAUCUUUUAUGUUUGACAGUAAUCAGUGCCAAAGGUUGAUCUUCAAACAGGAAAAGUACCAAGCAACCAUUGCCUCAGUCUUCUGUUUGUAGAUUUCCAAACUAUUGCUGGAACCUUUACCUGCUAGUCAAAAUUGGUGUAGCAAUUUUCAUUAGCACUAGUAAACGGUGGCAUCACAUCUCUGAUAUUAUGCUGCUGCUGAUGUGCUAUUUAUAGCUACAGUUUGACACCAUUAAUUAGGCUUGCUGGACAUGUAUGUCUUCUUGCAUAGAUAAACCACCAUAUUGUUAGUCAAGUAUUUGCACAGAUAUGUCUUCUUGCGCCACAUCACUUGGUCCUGGAUAGAAGAAUAUGGUGCUGGUUGCACCUUUUUUUCGAUAAUCUGACCUGGUGUAAUUUUUCCAGUAACUGAUCUCGUGUACCCAAGUCUAGUACGUGUCUUUUAUGUUUUGUUGGCUUGCAUGUUUGCUGAAGCGCACUAUGCUUGCUAAGACCAAGUUUCUGUUCUUUUUGGUAUUACUUGAUCUUUUUUGACAAUCUAACUAGACGAUUGUUUCCAGCCUUUGAACUCCUGGGAGAUUUUAACACAAAUUAUAACAGAUGCUGCCCUGCUAAAGGAGGAUGAGGAUGAGGGGCGUACCUAGCCGUCUACCCUGCAAUGCUUGAGGAGGAGGGGCAUGAGAGGACUUCUCCUCCGCCCCUAGUGCGACCAAGAGGUCCUGCCCGAGAUCAAGCACGGCCACGACGACCCACCACGGCAGCUAGCAUCCCCAUCUCCCUCCCCCUCUUUCUCUGCUUACUAAUGCCGCUAAAUUAAGGAAUAUUUGAUGCAAAUCCUGGUUGUGUCAAGGAAUUCAAGAGGGAUUUGUAUGAACAAGUCCAGUUUUUUUAUUUAGUUAGUACCAAACAGAGAAGAUGCAGUCCAGAUUGGUCAAUUUUGCUGCUACCACACGGAUUUGUAUCUAUGCAACCAUCUCCCUGUUGUUUGUGUUGUUUGGAUUGCAAGAAAUUCAGUUUUGGGUGACCUGCACUUAGUUUAACGUCUCUGAAUAAUCAACGUCUUACAUAAAUAUGUCGUGUCAUGCUCCUUUCUUCUCCUUGUCGUGAAUUGGUGUAACUUGAUGGCACUAGUCAAAUAAAAUAUUCUGUUAAUUUCCUAGUAUAUGUGAACUAAUUUUGCGUGCGUCUUUCAUGCAUGUUUGCAGCUACAUCUCUGGGUACAAGAACCAGUUCCAUAACUUCAUCAAGCACCUGUGCGAAAUGGGUGAUGAGGUGAAGGUUUUCAAAUGUUGAAGGAGGAGGACAAUAGGAACUUCUGUGAUGUCUUGUCAUCUAUUUUCUUUUCUUUGCUGUAGAAUAGUUUUGUUUGGCACUUACUGGUUCCUUGGACAUAAAGAUAUGUACUGCUAGAAUGAAUGCAUGGAAAGAUAUUUUGGGCUCCUAUAAUAUUCCAUGUUGCUUUGAAAAUGUAUCGGAACUGGGCUAGGCCCAAGAUAACUUGUAGUGUGAUGUGUUGUAAUGUCAAUAGCAUAACAAAAGAAGUUGGA